UGAUAGAAUGCAUAGAUUUCUUUUCUCUCAAGAGAUUAAUAAGAAACAAAACGAGAUUCUCAAACAUUAAGGCAUGCCAGUUUUUCUGGGACUCCAGCCAGCUACAUGGUUUUUCCUCAUGCAUGUUUUUAAACCAAUGGCCAUCUUAGGCGUUAUUUGAACUCCCCAAGCUUGUUUUUUUUUUUUUUUUUUUUUUUUUUUUUUGUACCAAAUAUAGGGUUAAAACAAAAUGCUGGUAUGUAGAGGCUCUCAACUUCUUUUUUUCUCCUUUUUUUCCCCAUCUCUGCUUCUCUGAAUCUGCUUUUUCACUUGUAUUAAAAUAACCUAAUUUUGCUAGUUUCCAAAGCUACUUACAAGUUUUUUAAAGAGCAUUUCAGCCAAAAUAACAAAAAAAGAGAGGGCUUUCAAAUUACAGUAGUUCCAUGACAGCCAACAAGCUAUCCAGUACACCUAAGAGUCAUCCCUUUUGGAAAUGUUAAUUUAGUUUUGAUUGACUAGCAAUUGCUUAGGGUGAUUUAACAAUUGCUUUAGUUAAUUAAAAGCUAGAUAGUCUAAGAAGGAAAGAACUAGAUUAAGGUUUACAAAAGUUAGGCUCUCAGAUCAAACAGGUCGAAAUCUUGAGCUCAGGGGAAUAAUAGAAGGUAUCUUUGACAUAAAAAUUUUGCUUUGUCUGCUGUAUGUGAGCCAGGAAAAGCUGAGGGGAAAAAAAAACCCUUUAAAUACCUUUUUCUAAAAUGCUUUCCUGCCUGCAUCGACUAAUCAAGUAAAUCAGACAAACAAAUAAAAAGAUAAAUUUAUUGCCGGAAUUCAAGGCCACCGGGGUAUUUUGUUUUUCUACACAAUUUAGUUGGUGCUAUCUAAAAUGAAAAUGUUUGAAUAUUUAACCUCUGUACCAGUUUAAAACUUGAAGGAGAAAAAGAGGUUUCUAAAAAUCAAACUGCUGUGGAAACUGCUUUACCCAAAGCUUUGGUCCACAGCCUUCAUAAGAUCACCUAUCAGGGCAAAUAAAAUUUAGCCAUGUGAACAGGUCCCAUUUUGUCAGAAAUAUAAUUUGGAUUCAACUGUCCUUUUAUAAACUGAUCUGAUCAGAACCUGAAUUCUCCUAAUUUUCUUCAAUAUUUGGCUGCAACUCUCCAACUAAGAGCAAAAACUGCUCUGUGCUUGCCGCCUUAGAAGAUGAAGCUAGACAACUUGAUAUAAAUUUCAAGAGACAAGUCUCAUACCCGAAAAAAGAAGGACAAGUCUUGUGCCACACAGAAAGUUCACCAAUCCACCUGAUACCAUAGCAGAGAAUUCAAACUGCAAGCCAAGAGAAGUUGAUGGCUUCAUGCUAUAGGCAGCGUUUCCCAAGACACUCCAUCAAAAUGAGACUCUUGCCCCUCUUAAUUUUUCCUUUCUUAUGCUUACCUUUUUCUUUGGCAAGAUAAUGAUGUAAUUCAGAUUUCACAAUCAGCAGCUUCUGCUCAUAACUUAAAAGAACAUGACCUCUUAGGUAUCUAUUGUUUAAAUAAAAAAAAGUCUACGCUUCCACUAAUACUACAUGUUAUACUUGGGUAAAUUCCUCUGGGGAAGUUGAGGCCCAUAUCCACAGAAUUUUUUAAAUGGGUCACACAGUAACAACAGAUGUCAUCUAAUUCUCAAUGGUCAUUUGCUUUAUUCAAUUGUUUGUCUUUAAGACUGGAUUCAUGGCUCAAAACCAUUAUACAAACUUGGAUUUACCAUAUUACUAUUAAUUUUAUUUUAUAUUUUUGUUUUUAAAACUUGUACCUGUUGCUUGUUAAAUUUCUGCAGAAGUACAACUCCUAACAGAAUAAUGCUGGCCCAGUGCUUUGAGAUUGUGGCCAAAAUACUAUGGAAUAGACAAAACUGAACAUAGCAAUAAAUUCCAGGUAGACUUAGCCUGAGAGCCAUUUCCUCCAAGCCUCCCUUGUUGCUCAAAUGUGGCUAGAACGCUUUUGACACAGAUUCCUACUCACCAAUCACGUCUUCUGAUAUGGGACCAGACCAACAAUCUGGGACACAUCCUGGCACCAAGGGACAAUGAAAAUCUAACUACAGGAUGAUUGAAUGGUGAUACUUUCAGAAAAAGAUCUUGAUCAAAAGGGGGGAAAUGUGAAAGUUAUCAGAAUCAAAAUAGAGUCACUUGUGUCAACAAGAAAAAAACAAAACCAAAAACAGCUGAAAAACAGUGCUUGGGAAGGCCAUAAAGGGAGGAUUCUCACGCACAAGUUCUUGAUAACAAAACUACCACAAAAAAUUCUGCAAAAACUACAACUUCACACAAAGGCCAUCACAACCUUACACAGAAAACACUUCUUUGAGGACAUCUGCCCAGCAAUUGCCUUUCCAAACUUGGACUGACACCACCUUUGUUACUUAUCCUUGUAGCCAAGGAUAAUUAUCUCAAAACUAUUAUGUAAUCCUCCUCAUUUUUUUCUUACAAGACCUUUGUCUUCCUUUACCUCCCUGAAUACACACAUAGUUUACAAUGGCACCCAUAUUCCUAUUGCAAUGCCCAUUUCUGAAUAAAUAUCAUUUUCUGUUAGAGAAUUUCCCUCUCUGUUAUUUAGAAUGACACAAUUUGCUAGGAUCAAAUAUUCUUUUAAACCAAGAGAUAGCACUCUUGAUUUAAAAGAGUGACAUAGGGUUAUAUUUUUAAAGAAGUCAAAUAUGCUUCUAGUGCUUUUGGGCGUUGGCUCCUAAUUGUUCUCUACCCACUUCCUUCCUAAACUGCUUAGAAUCCUCAGCUCAUUACCACUUAUACUCUGCCAAUGCUUUGCUCUCUGCCUUUCUGAACCACAUAUUUGCUAAAAUUCCAUCACUGUGUGAACCAAAUUACUGACCUUCUCUGUGUCCUGCUAGAAUUCCACAACACUCAGUAUAGCGCCUAUAAGAGUGUCUGGCACCUAAGGCCACCCAAUAAACAUUUGCUAAAGGAAUGAAAAAAAUGAAAAUGAUUGAUUCGUCAAAAUAAAUUUCUAGUCACUAAUGUCAAAUGGGCUCUCA
rnacentral:lncRNA from 10 species